CAGAAUUAUCUCAUAUUCCUUGUCUUAUGUACAGACGAAUCCUGUUGACAAUUUGGCGACUGAGAUGGAGGCGUUAAACCGGAUCGUCAACCAGGACGAAAUGAUGGAUGAAAGUACAACGCCUCAACCUGGUGUUGCCUUGGACAGCGCGGAGGUCCCAAAAACUCCGAAUCCUAUCCCGAACGAGAAUACGAAGAAAAAAA